AUUGAACGCUGGCGGCAUGCUUUACACAUGCAAGUCGAACGGUAUCAGGCCGCAAGGUGCUGACGAGUGGCGAACGGGUGAGUAAUGCAUCGGAACGUGCCCAGUCGUGGGGGAUAACGCAGCGAAAGCUGUGCUAAUACCGCAUACGAUCUGUGGAUGAAAGCGGGGGACCGAAAGGCCUCGCGCGAUUGGAGCGGCCGAUGUCAGAUUAGGUAGUUGGUGGGGUAAAGGCUCACCAAGCCAACGAUCUGUAGCUGGUCUGAGAGGACGACCAGUCACACUGGGACGGAGACACGGCCCAGACUCCUACGGGAGGCAGCGGGGGGGAAUUUUGGACAAGGGGCGCAAGCCUGAUCCAGCAAUGCCGCGUGCAGGAAGAAGGCCUUCGGGUUGUAAACUGCUUUUGUACGGAGCGAAAAGGCUCUCUCUAAUACAGGGGGCUCAUGACGGUACCGUAAGAAUAAGCACCGGCUAACUACGUGCCAGCCGCCGCCGUAAUAC
rnacentral:rRNA from 1 species